UACGGGAGGCAGCAGUGGGGAAUAUUGCACAAUGGGCGCAAGCCUGAUGCAGCCAUGCCGCGUGUAUGAAAAAGGCCUUCGGGUUGUAAAGUACUUUCAGUCGUGAGGAAGGUGUUAAGGUUAAUAACCUUAGCAAUUGACGUUAGCGACAGAAGAAGCACCGGCUAACUCCGUGCCAGCAGCCGCGGUAAUACGGAGGGUGCGAGCGUUAAUCGGAAUUACUGGGCGUAAAGGGCACGCAGGCGGUUAAUUAAGUUGGAUGUGAAAUCCCCGGGCUUAACCUGGGAAUGGCAUUCAAGACUGGUUAGCUAGAGUCUUGUAGAGGGGGUAGAAUUCCAUGUGUAGCGGUGAAAUGCGUAGAGAUGUGGAGGAAUACCGGUGGCGAAGGCGGCCCCUGGACAAAGACUGACGCUCAUGUGCGAAAGCGUGGGGAGCAAACAGGGAUUAG
rnacentral:rRNA from 1 species